AUUGAACGCUGGCGGUAUGCUUAACACAUGCAAGUCGAACGGCAGCAUGGUCUAGCUUGCUAGACUGAUGGCGAGUGGCGGACGGGUGAGUAACGCGUAGGAAUAUGCCUUGAAGAGAGGGACAACUUGGGGAAACUCAAGUUAAUACCGCAUGUACUAGAGAGAGUAAAGCUGGGGAUCUUUAGGCCUGGCGCUUUAAGAUUAGCCUGCGUCCGAUUAGCUAGUUGGUAGGGUAAAGGCCUACCAAGGCGACGAUCGGUAGCUGGUCUGAGAGGAUGAUCAGCCACACUGGAACUGAGAGACGGUCCAGACUCCUACGGGAGGCAGCAGUGGGGAAUAUUGGACAAUGGGGGAACCCUGAUCCAGCAAUGCCGCGUGUGUGAAGAAGGCCUGAGGGUUGUAAAGCACUUUCAGUGGGGAGGAGGUUUGGAAGGUUAAGAGCUAUUCAAAUGGACGUUACCCACAGAAGAAGCACCGGCUAACUCCGUGCCAGCAGCCGCAGUAA
rnacentral:rRNA from 1 species